UUCUUUUUAUCCGUAGAUGGCAAAGAUUCGUUGGUAUGUGACUCAUCUUCAUUAUGUGUCUUUUUGGGAUCGUUUUUGUUAUCCAGUGGUUUGUUAUCUUUUGGUUCUUUACUUUUGAAAACAACAUUUGAAGUACGAAAAGGUCCGACUGAGCAUUUUAAAACCCUCUGUGUAGUGGAAAAACUAGCAAGCAAAGACCGAUGAACCAAAUGUUCACGAGGCCAAUUUCUUUUAGCACCUGAUCGCCUCAAGCAAGCGCCCGAUAAACGUGUAAUCAUGGGCCUGUACGAAUUUAAAUUACAAACUGGCACAAAGAACGUUUCGGGCUAUUAUUAAUUUUCUGGCGUAUUUAAAGGUAG